rnacentral:rRNA from 1 species
AACGAACGCUGGCGGCAGGCUUAACACAUGCAAGUCGAACGAGCUGGGACCUUCGGGUCCCGAUGCUAGUGGCGCACGGGUGAGUAACACGUGGGAACGUACCCUUUAGUACGGAAUAACCCAGGGAAACUUGGGCUAAUACCGUAUGACUCCUUCGGGAGAAAGAUUUAUCGCUAAAGGAACGGCCCGCGUCUGAUUAGGUAGUUGGUGAGGUAACGGCUCACCAAGCCAACGAUCAGUAGCUGGUCUGAGAGGAUGAUCAGCCACACUGGGACUGAGACACGGCCCAGACUCCUACGGGAGGCAGCAGUGGGGAAUAUUGGACAAUGGGGGCGAACCCUCGAUCCA